AAUCAACGGCUGGCGGCGUGCCUCAGACAUGCAAGUCGAACGAUUAAAAGCUCUCUUCGGAGAGUGCAUAGAGUGGCGCACGGGUGAGUAACACGUAAGUAAUCUACCCUCGAGUGGGGAAUAACGUCCGGAAACGGACGCUAAUACCGCAUAAUGCAGCGGCACCGCAAGGUGACAGUUGUUAAAGAUUUAUCGCUUGAGGAGGAGCUUGCGGCAGAUUAGCUAGUUGGUAAGGUAAUGGCUUACCAAGGCUACGAUCUGUAACCGGUCUUAGAGGACGGUCGGUCACACUGACACUGAAUAACGGGUCAGACUCCUACGGGAGGCAGCAGUCGGGAAUUUUGGGCAAUGGGCGAAAGCCUGACCCAGCAACGCCGCGUGAAGGAUGAAGUAUUUCGGUAUGUAAACUUCGAAAGAAUAGGAAGAAUAAAUGACGGUACUAUUUAUAAGGUCCGGCUAACUACGUG
rnacentral:rRNA from 1 species